rnacentral:lncRNA from 1 species
UUACAUACCAAAUCAAAUACAUCACCCGAUGAUGAAGGAGUCGGGUUACUGAAUAAGAGUCGCGAGAGGACUAACAGUCACAAAUCUGAAAAACAGUAAAAAUGAGACUGUCAGUCUCGAGAGUGAGUUAAAAUCAAAUAAUCUAGGGACUAUUGCUUCUUCUCAGAAAACAUAGAUUAUUCAAAUCAGUAUAUCAAACCAUACUAUAAUCAUACCCUACUAUUUCCUUCACAUAAAAUAUUAAUCAUUCGAAUCAAUAUAUCAACCAUGCACGUAAAUACAAUCCAUAUUAUAAUCAUACCAUAAUAAAUAAAUAAAUGAAUAAAUAAAAAUAUAUUUUUAUUUUUACGGGACGAGUGGCUCGGUAGAACCCUAAACCCCAAAAUCUAACAGCCAUUUUGGCUCUCUUAAUCCAAUAAGACUGGCGCCCAGAGAGCAAGCUCGAUCAGGGUCCUUACCUCCAGCCUGAACACUUGAAUUCCAAAUAAGCCGGCGCCCAGAGAGCAUCGCUCGAUCAGGGACCUUAACUUCGGCAAUCAACUAAACUCAGCCCAGAGAGCAAUGCUCGAUCAGGGCAAACAAAUCCAUAAUAACCUUAUGUCCAUGAUCAUUACCGGUGCGCACGCGGUCCUGAUGUAACCCAUCAGGCGGCAUGUUCUACGAAAGCCACAUUUCCCAAAUCGCAAUCACCACAUUUAAUAAAUAUCAUUGUAUAAUGAAAUCAUUCAACCAUAUCCAAAUAACAAUUAACAAUUAAGAGUAUGACAUCAGGCAACUCAUGUGAAAAACUGAUAAUAUUCGGUAUUAUCAUAACAUUACUAUAAUAAUACUUAUAUUAUCUUCAAUAAUUAAUAAUUCAGUAAAAUUAAUUACGUUGAGAUAUUAAUAACCAUGUUAUGCAUGAACUUUCAAAUUAGCAUAUUAAAUCAGACUUAGCAAUAGUGCAAUGAUUAAAUGACUUUAACUCACAGAAUUGGAGACCUCCUAGCUCUGCUCCGGUGCCUCGGUAGGAGCGAGCCGAACGAACUGACAAUCUAAUCACGGAAAAUAAUUUAUCAAUACGCUGAGACAAUCCAUCAUUAAUCCUAGGUCUAGACUCCCAGGACUGACUGUCUAAGAAUCUCGACUCGGGAACUACCGAAAAUUCGGCAGAACCUCCCCUACAACACGAACAUUACCCCCCGUAAAAAUGGGUCCAGGACCUGCCAGAAAAACACUCCAAAUACUUAACGAUUCAAACAAUAGGAGUCGGGUCCCCAAACUUCACUAUUUCCCGACUCCGCCACACAGCACAAAAUACGAGGCAGGCAAACUGACAGACAAUUAUUUUUUACUCACAAAAAUCAUCAAAUACUCAAUAUAAUUCAAUAGACACAAUUAAACCAAGAAUUUCUAAAAUUAACGGGCCAAAGAUAAUUACCGAGACGCUCGAUCGCUCGGUCGACUCGCCUCCAGCCGCCGGAGUCCGAUCGACGAUCCGAACACACCAUCGAACUCACAACGACGCGCUGACGAU